UACGGAGGGUGCAAGCGUCAUCCGGAUUCACUGGGUUUAAAGGGUGCGUAGGUGGGUUGGUAAGUCAGUGGUGAAAUCUCCAGGCUUAACUUGGAAACUGCCAUUGAUACUAUCAAUCUUGAAUACCGUGGAGGUCAGCGGAAUAUGUCAUGUAGCGGUGAAGUGCUUAGAUAUGACAUAGAACACCAAUUGCGAAGGCAGCUGGCUACGCGGAUAUUGACACUGAUGCACGAAAGCGUGGGGAUCAAACAGGG
rnacentral:rRNA from 1 species